UGACGAGUGACGUAAGCAUUCCAGAUCACGCCCUUCUCCUCACUGCAUGACGUCUGCCAACUGUUGUUGAAUCCACUGAAGACGACUGAAUCAAGGUGUGGUUACGAAGUAUUCGUUUUCAGAAUCAGGAGCUCAGUGACGUCUGUAAGUAGAAAGACGCGGUGUCUCCAUUCAUGCACAAAGAUACAGCUUUUAAAAUCUCGCUUUAUUUUACAAAGAAGCUGUUUAAACUGGCUUUAGAUUGAACCUCUACCAGAGCGAAUUUGGAAGAGAGAUACAUCUUUAGUCUUGAAAUUGUCGAAGGAUUUAUAAACACCGAACUUAAUUCAGACGCCUGAUGCAUGUUUUAACAAUGAAUGGUUGAAAAAUUGAUGAACAACG